rnacentral:rRNA from 1 species
CUUAAGCAUAUCAAUAAGCGGAGGAAAAGAAACUAACAAGGAUUCCCCUAGUAACUGCGAGUGAAGCGGGAAGAGCUCAAAUUUGAAAUCUGGCGGUUCUUUGACUGUCCGAGUUGUAAUCUAGAGAAGUGUUACCUGUGCUGGACCAUGUACAAGUCUCCUGGAAUGGAGCAUCAUAGAGGGUGAGAAUCCCGUCUUUGACAUGGACUACCUGUACAUUAUGGUGCGCUCUCAAAGAGUCGAGUUGUUUGGGAAUGCAGCUCAAAACGGGUGGUAAAUGCCAUCUAAAGCUAAAUAUUGGCGAGAGACCGAUAGCGAACAAGUACCGUGAGGGAAAGAUGAAAAGAACUUUGGAAAGAGAGUUAAACAGUACGUGAAAUUGCUGAAAGGGAAACGCUUGAAGUCAGUCACAUUGGCUAGAAAUCAGCCUUGCUUUUGCUUGGUGUACUUUCUGGUUGAUGGGUCAGCAUCAAUUUUGACCAUUGGAUAAAGUCUUUGGGAAUGUGGCAUCUUUGGAUGUGUUAUAGCCCAUUGUCACAUACAAUGGUUGGGAUUGAGGAACUCAGCACGCCGCAAGGCCGGGUUUCGACCACGUUCGUGCUUAGGAUGCUGGCAUAAUGGCUUUAAUCGACCCGUCUUGAAACACGGACCAAGGAGUCUAACAUGCCUGCGAGUGUUUGGGUGGAAAACCCAUGCGCGUAAUGAAAGUGAAAGUUGAGAUCCCUGUAAUAAGGGGAGCAUUGACGCCCGGACCAGACCUUUUGUGACGGAUCCGCGGUAGAGCAUGUAUGUUGGGACCCGAAAGAUGGUGAACUAUGCCUGAAUAGGGUGAAGCCAGAGGAAACUCUGGUGGAGGCUCGUAGCGAUUCUGACGUGCAAAUCGAUCGUCAAAUUUGGGUAUAGGGGCGAAAGACUAAUCGAACCAUCUAGUAGCUGGUUCCUGCC